UAUAGGAGCUAUUUAUAACGCAGUAUAUCCUAAUGAUUAUUUCAAUAAAAACAUCGAAUCUGAAGGGAUUUUCAACUGUUGAUUCCAGCUACUUUGACCGAAAUCUAUGCUUCUUUAUGCUGCUUAUGCUUGAAUCUGAUACAAUGAUAGUUAUCCAUUUGUUUUAAAAACUGGUCUAAACUUUCAAUAGCAAUAGAAAUAAACAAUGAUUAAACAUGUUGAUCAACCUUUUGAACUCCAAACUGAUUGAAUGAUUUCAAUCAACAAUAAGCCCAAAUUAAUGGUGUUUACAAUAAGUUAACGAUGUUUUUGUAGAUCUCAAUCGUUUUAUCAUGAAGUUAUGUUUUGAAUUACAACAAAAACAAGUUAAUUAUUUGUCUCUGUUGACUUGAAGGGUUAAUUAUACUUUUAUAAAAACAUCCCGAAGUCAGGAGAUUAACACGAGUUUCGUCUACGAGUCAAAGUCCAAAAACUUUACACUGGCUUAACUGAAUCAAUUAAUUCUAUUUUUGGAAAAGUUUCGAUUGUAAAGAAUCAUAUUUGUGUUUAUCCUCAUCAAAACAUUGUACACUCACGUACAUCAUCCAUAAGCACUAGAUUUCCUAUUUAAAGACAUGUCUGAACCAAACUUUGUAUCAUACAUCGAUAGACUUCAAAUCAACAACAGUUAAAAUUUAAUUCUUUGUUCUGCUUAAUUCAAUCAUUGUUUAACUUGGUACUUAAUUAUAAUGGAUCCUUCAAACAGAACCAACCAGUGCAACCCAACACACACCCCAAGUGGCCCAGGCCAUAAUGCAGGCUACCAAGGGAUGGGAACCAAAACUGAUAUGGGCAAUCAUGCAAACCAAAUGAACCCCAACAAUCCUGCUUAUGCUAGUAGUCGAGAUGGAAACAAAAAAGGACCAUGAGCUUAUUCGAAGAUACAACGAGCGAUUUUUUUCUUAUGCAUUUUCUUUAAAGCUUUACAUCUAUUGAGUCUUUACAGAAUAAAAUUGAACCUAAAUUGAAAAUAA